rnacentral:rRNA from 1 species
AUUGAACGCUGGCGGCAUGCCUUACACAUGCAAAUCGAACGGUAACGGGCCUUCGGGUGCCGACGAGUGGAGAACGGGUGAGUAAUACAUCGGAACGUGCCCGAUCGUGGGGGAUAACGAGGCGAAAGCUUUGCUAAUACCGCAUACGAUCUACGGAUGAAAGCAGGGGACCGCAAGGCCUUGCGCGGACGGAGCGGCCGAUGGCAGAUUAGGUAGGUGGUGAGAUAAAAGCUUACCAAGCCGACGAUCUGUAGCUGUUCUGAGAGGAUGAUCCGCCACACUGGGACUGAGACACGGCCCAGACUCCUACGGGAGGCAGCAGUGGGGAAUUUUGGACAAUGGGCGCAAGCCUGAUCCAGCCAUGCCGCGUGCAGGAUUAAGGCCUUCGGGUUGUAAGCUGAUUUUGUACGGAACGAAAAGCCUUCUUUUAAUACAGGAGGGUCAUGACGGUACCGUAAGAAUAAGCACCGGCUAACUACGUG